rnacentral:lncRNA from 1 species
CUUUACUUUCUCUAUAAAAUUUGUGUGCCUUACAAUGUUUACAGUAAAAUAGAAAUUGGUAACAUAUAUGCAGUAAAUGAUAUAUUCAAUCCCUUGAAAUUUUCUUCAAAUUCAGAAUUGACAAUAUUAUGUAUUUCUUGAUUUGAAGUUGUAGUGUCAAAGUCUUGAUGAAUUAUGGACUCAUGUAGUUCGACAACAACAGAAGAAUUAUUUUCAGAUAACAUAGGGUCAUUUCUCCUUUUAUGAUAAUCACUACAAUCAGUUCUAAGUCUAUUUCGCCUAUCUUUCUGUCUUUGAAUUCGUUGUUGGUGAAUGGAAGCUCUGUAUAGCUCAUUCCACUUCUGGAGGUAGCAUCAAAGUUAACAAAAACAAGGUCUUCAUGAACAGGCGUUUUCAAAAUAUCCAUCACGAUAGAAAAUUAUUGAAUAUUUGAACUCCAAGGUAAGUAGUAUCAACUAAGACAAUUGAAGAACACUAUUCGCAUCUAUUAAAACAUUCACAUACAAAGACUAAACUGUCGAAUAUGAAAAAUUAGUUACAAGAAACCGUUGAAGAAAUAUUCAACCGUUUAAAUUUUCUAACAAUGUAAUAAUUAUAUAACAUCAAUUAUACUUUUUAAACACACCACACAAAUUCUGAAUUUCAGCAACAUGAUUAAAACAUUAACGACAGACAGACAUGUGGAAAAACAUCAAAUGAUGGACAGAGGAUAGUAACGAACCUAUUGAUGAGAAUAACAAAAUGCAAUUACAAAAAUAAGUAAGGUAAAUUACGGGAAUUGAUGAAUAUUUUUAUUCAUGCCAAUAUACACAAAAAAAUUUAUGUAAACUAAAAAAAUAUAUGAAACAUAUAAGCACGAAGGAGGUUAAAAUUUCUAUAUAAAUAAACUAAAAAACAAAAACAAAUUACAAAUGAAAGACAUUUAUAAGUACGUAAGAAGAGAGCCAGAUUUAGGAUUAUUAAAAAAUAAUAUACACAAAUUUUUUAGCCCAAAGAAUACAUAACAUUGAAGUUAAAAAACCAUUUGAACAACAAAAAUGAAAGUUCAAUGAAGAGACCGCAAAAUAUAUAAAAGGAACCCAUAAAUAAUUAAUUAAAACAAUUAAUUUUGUAACAAAGCUUACCCAACAAACACUAUAGCAACAAAUCUGAGGAUUCCACCAAGUCAAAACUGUAACCAUGCACAAACAAAAGGAGACAAAUGAAGAAGUUAGCUUCAAAUACAUAACAUUUGAAAGUAAACUUAUCGAAAAUCGACAUGUUUAGAAGAGAUUUCGAAGAGGAAAGAAAACCCUAAACCAAUGACACAGUGAUUUGUAGCAAAUGAUCAUACAAAAUUAACAUACAUUAGGUGACAAAUGUUUAAGCUAUUUAACUAUUUGUGCUUGAUUGGAAAAUUUCAAAAAGGAAUAACCAAAAAUUACGAUAACCAUCAAAUCGACAAACUAAGAAAAUAAAAUUGUACACCAAAAAUGGCUAAAUAAAAAAGAAGUUCAAAACAUACGACAUUUGAACUUAAAGGCUAAAGAUUGCCUGCACGAGUGAAAAAUAAAACAUGUGUUUUUAUUCAUGGAUGAAAACAAUAGUACAAAUAUAAAAUACCCAAAUCACCCACCAUAGUCCACCAUAAAUCUAACAACAUGAAACAACGAACUUUACCAAAUCGUUGUAAACAAAAACACAAUCAUAUAGAUAAAAUAAAAAUUUUAAAAUUGUAAAACUAAGGCUUACAGUAAAAGAAGUCGAAAGUAUUUUUUUUAAAGUAAAAAAAAUAAACUUUACCAAAAAAAUUUAAAAAUAAGAAAUUAGAAAAACAAAUCCUCACCUUAUAUCUGUAUUUUUUGGGUAUUGUUUGAUAGAAAAGAAAACGAAGAUGAAAGAACCUACAAGUAGGAGAACAACCAAACAAAAAUAUUUUAUCGAAGAAAACAUUGAAAAAAUAGGAAGAUUGUAUAAAUUGGAAUUUCUAUUUUGAAGGGAUAUGUUUUGGUCAACACAAAACAAUACCCAAAUGAAAACGAACAUAUUAAAUAGGUUCUACAAAUGGAAUGAAAAUGUACUAUGAAAUACACAGUAAUUUCACAAAUCAGAGAAGUUUGGCUCCAUAAUAAUUUAGCUAAUAAGUAGUCUAACAAAGUUUAGCUCCAUUUCCUAAGGAGAUAAACCGAUUUCUUUUCUUACUACAAAAUAAAUUAUAAGUUAGCUAAUUGACUUUCACAGACAAGGACAAUAAUCAUUAACUAAAGACAGAAUACCAAAGUGUUGCGGAAGCUCUCUCAAAAGAUCUUCAAACGGUAGUUUUCCAGGCUCAGUCCAACGUACCUUUCUCUACCAACAACCAAUCCAAACGGCUCCAAACCAUAACCAAUUGAUUCACCUUGGUUGCUAUACAAUCUUACCCACAUAGGACAAGAAGGGAUGAUGAUUUAUGGCCACAAAGGCUAGGAGAAGACACCACAAAGGUAUACUAUGAAAGAACUACCAAUUGCACACGUUAUACAAGCGUUUUGGACACUUCUGGACACCUUUUUCUCACACAAAAGGAGGGCAGCCGGGAUUCACUAGUUUCUUCUCUCAAAAUCACACAAUCAUCAUCACAAAGCGGCUAGGGUUAUAUUCAUAUAUAUACUCUAGGGUUAGGCUUUAAGUUGGGCCAUUAAAGGGGUAAACGGGCUAAGAUUCAAGCCAUCCAUAAGGAAUACAAUUGGGCCGGGUGUAGCUCAUGGACUUGGUUGUUGGACUUAUUUCAUUCAUCGGCCUAUACCUAUGAAAUAAUAUUAACCCACGUUAACAUCAUAUCCCGGGAUUUAUUGGGUAUCAAAAACCCAACACAAAGUAUUUAAGUAUUCUCAAUAAACUACUCUAUAAUAAGAAAGCAAUUCUUGGUCUAUUCAAACUAUAAUCUCCUUAUUCAGACACCAACUUAGAAAUAGGCACUAACAAACAUCAAAACACGUCUCCAUUUUCUAUUUUGCCUAAUAUGCUAACUCAAACAAAAAUAUAGCUAUAUAUGUACACAACACAUCCCUUGAAAAUAGACAAAUUUCGUUGAACCGAAAAAGGAAAAGAAAACUUACAAAAUAUGGGUAGCCCUCAAAGAUGUUAAAAUUUUUCGGAGCACUCUUUUAGAAUAAUUUUAUGUACUAAAGAACGUAAAAACCACAGUCAUCACCAUUUAUCUAAUGAGAAACCUGAAAAUUGUUUGUUCAACCCAUACGAGUAAACAUAUACAACAGAUAUAAUAACAAGAAUGAGUGUGAGGAAUGCCACCUUAGGAACCAACAGAGGAAUUUUCUUAAAUAGCUCUUUGGUGGCUGACUUUUCCUCUCUUUUAUAUAUGUCAAAGAUAAUCCUACAAAGAAUUAUAAAUAAAUAAAACUAAGUUUGAGGACAACGCAUAUGUUAAAUAUGUGGCUAUGGAAUUGCCUUCUUAUCAGAGGUUCGAGCCUUGUAGGACCUAUUUAGACCUAACACACAUCCAAGAACACAUAUACAUGGAUAAAAUUUCGGAUGUGCAAAAAAUUACUUCAAAUGAAAAUUACUAAGUAAUGUAGUUAAGUUCAACCAACACAACCUCAAUGACAACUUAAAUUAAUUUAAGAUGCCAUGCUGCUUUACUAAUUUGUCGGUGAACCAAAGGUAUGUUAAGCAUGAUUAUGUAUUAAAUCCAAAAAUAAUAAAUAAUAAAUCUGGUUGCCUCUAUUUCAGUUAUCAAUGUUAAAUCUUAAAAAUAAAUAAUAAAUUGAAAGAGUAAAUUGCAAUGAAUUUAGAACAUGAAAAUCUAAUAACCAUUAGUUCCAACAACCAUCAACAAAAAUUUAGGAGUUGAGAUUAAAAAUAUGAGAAUUGAAAUCAUCUUCAGUUUCUUAACAAUAAAGCUUUGAAACAAAAUCAUCCAGCUGCAGAAACACAUAUAAAUAAAGCCCCAGACUUGACAAGAAAUAUCAUAACAAAAGAAAAUGAGUCAAAAAAAUAAUAAUAAUAAAUUGGGUUAAGAGGGUAAAGAAAAGAGAAGGAUUAAAGUGGAGAAAAACAAGAAAAUACGAACAAAGACAGAAUACCAACCAAACGAAAAGAACGCAUACGAAAAAAAAUAAAAACAACUAACUAAUCUAACGAAGCUCGUAAUGGUACUUCACGUUCCGACUAUCUAAUUUGUUUCCAGAUUUCUUGUUGUUCCAGUUUCCUUGUCGAUAGACAAGCUCCUUUUGCAAAUUUCUAAUUCUUGCAGUUUCGUAUAGUCGUCCAACGAUGGAUUUGUUGUUCUUUAUGAACAUUUUAGUGCUUUCGUCGAGAGAGGGAGAAGAGCGUCUUUGGUUUGUUGGAAAGAGAUUUUGGGAGAGCAAACUUCAUUACAUUACCAAUAAAGUAGCAGUAGAGAAUCAGCUGCGGAAGGUUUCUUUCAAUUUUGGAAGCUAUCAGUGAGAAAAAAGGGAAUAUCAGUGAGAUAAAAGGGAAUAAAGUAGCAGGUACAGUAAAUUAUUCUUUUGAAACUUCAAUAAGUC